rnacentral:rRNA from 1 species
GAACGGAAAGGCCCUGCUUGCAGGGUACUCGAGUGGCGAACGGGUGAGUAACACGUGGGUGAUCUGCCCUGCACUUCGGGAUAAGCUUGGGAAACUGGGUCUAAUACCGGAUAGGACCGCACUUUAGUGUGUGUGGUGGAAAGUUUUUUCGGUGUAGGAUGAGCUCGCGGCCUAUCAGCUUGUUGGUGGGGUAAUGGCCUACCAAGGCGGCGACGGGUAGCCGGCCUGAGAGGGUGUACGGCCACAUUGGGACUGAGAUACGGCCCAGACUCCUACGGGAGGCAGCAGUGGGGAAUAUUGCACAAUGGGCGCAAGCCUGAUGCAGCGACGCCGCGUGGGGGAUGAAGGCCUUCGGGUUGUAAACUCCUUUCGCUAGGGACGAAGCUUUUUGUGACGGUACCUAGAUAAGAAGCACCGGCUAACUACGUGCCAGCAGCCGCGGUAAUACGUAGGGUGCGAGCGUUGUCCGGCAUUACUGGGCGUAAAGGGCUCGUAGGUGGUUCGUCGCGUCGUCUGUGAAAUUCUGGGGCUUAACUCCGGGCGUGCAGGCGAUACGGGCAUAACUUGAGUGCUGUAGGGGUAACUGGAAUUCCUGGUGUAGCGGUGAAAUGCGCAGAUAUCAGGAGGAACACCGAUGGCGAAGGCAGGUUACUGGGCAGUUACUGACGCUGAGGAGCGAAAGCA